UAAUAAACAUCCAUGGAGUCACCACCAAGAUGGGACAAAUGUUACAGAUACCUGAAAGGAGAGGGAAGCUCUGAUGAGCCAAGAAAGACGCCCAAAGACGAAGAGUCACCGUUAACCAUCUUCCUGGCUCAGAGAGUGUGAAGCCACCCAGCCAGGUGAUAUUGGAGUAGAAAGGAAGACACGCCCUAUCCACAGAGCUCUUAGUCAGAAAAGGAAAGGAAGCCCUCAAUUAGCCCAAGUGGGCUGCUGGCUGCCUGACACCCAGUCUCCUGGCAACCAUUUUCCUAACCCUUUGAUGGAUGCAAACGUUGACAGUCUUCUUAUAAGAUUGUGGGUCUCAACUCUAGAGAGCCAUGGCUUGAAGUGGAGAAGGAAGAAGAAAACAGUGCCUGCUAUCUGAACAGUAAGGCCCACCUGUUAUGGCCAAAGCUUCCUGCAGAGACUUGAU